CCCCGCUCUAUUUCCUCAUAUUCUUUGUUAGAAGACUUUUUCUGUUUCUCUCUCUCCAGGUAAAAGCACAAAGAAGAAAGACCUCCAUUAUGUUACGUGUCUGCUCAUCAGCAGAACAAAUUCCCAUGGCUCUGUUUCUAAUCAGAAGGAAGUAAUUUUCUCUUCUCACCUGACUGAUUCUCCAACUUGGUUCUCAGAGCUGACUGCUCUCCAAUGCCUUCCUCCAGAUGAACUGGAAAAAACAAAGAUGAACCAAAGAGUUUCUGUUGAGAUAUUAAUUGGCCAAAGAAUCCUAUCUACUAUUUUACUUAGAUUUUUUGUUUUAUUUUCAUCAUUUUGCAUUUUUCACCUCCAAACUAUAGUAGGGAUCACUUGUCUGCCUUAUGUGGUGUCCAAUGUAUGAAACUCAUUGUUAUUUUUUGGUGUUUUAGGUAAGAGUAUAAAUCCAAUUUCUAUUAUUCCAACUUGACAGAAAAAAAGUCCCCAGUUUAAAUUUAAAAGUUUCUCUUUUCUCUGACUAGAAGUAGGUUAAAAUACAAGUCUUG
rnacentral:lncRNA from 1 species